rnacentral:pre_miRNA from 1 species
GUAGAUGAGCAAUUUAGCCAGUGCGGUACAACCGCUAAGACCCCAAGUUAGCGGUUGUACAGCACUGGCUAAGUUGCUCAUCUACA